AUUGAACGCUGGCGGCAUGCCUUACACAUGCAAGUCGAGCGCGAAAGGGGGCAACCCCGAGUAGAGCGGCGGACGGGUGAGUAACACAUCGGAACGUGCCCAGUAGUGGGGGACAACCUCGAGAAAUCGAGGCUAAUACCGCAUACGACCCACGGGUGAAAGCGGGGGACCCAAAGGAAACUGAGGGCCUCGCGCUAUUGGAGCGGCCGAUGUCCGAUUAGCUAGUUGGCGGGGUAAGAGCCCACCAAGGCGACGAUCGGUAGCUGGUCUGAGAGGACGACCAGCCACACUGGGACUGA
rnacentral:rRNA from 1 species